rnacentral:rRNA from 1 species
GACGAACGCUGGCGGCGUGACUAAUACAUGCAAGUCGAACGCAGUGGGGACGGGUGAGUAACACGUGGGUAACCUCCCAUCAGAGGGGAUAACACUUGGAAACAGGUGCUAAACCGAUCCUGAUGGAUGGACCCGCGGUGCAUUAGCUAGGUGGUGAGGUAACGGCUCACAAAGGCCACGAUGCAUAGCGGACCUGUGAGGGUGUGCGGCCAACCUGGGAGCUAGACACGGCCCAGACUCCGACGUGAGGCAGCAGUAGGGAAUCUUCGGCAAUGGACGAAAGUCUGACCGAGAAACGCCGCGUGAGUGAAGAAGGUUUUCGGAUCGUAAAACUCUGUUGUUAGAGAAGCGGUAUCUACCCAGAAAGCCACGGCUAACUACGUGCCAGCAGCCGCGGUAAUAC